CUUGUGGCCGCAGGAAGCUCUCUUGUCUGGCAUACUCCCUGCUCUCACUGACCCAGCAAAGGAGAGAAAACAAUAAAUAGAUACUGGUUACAAAGGUUGACAUUCUAUCAGAGAAGGAUACAAGGUACAGUGAACGCCAAGAAGGACAUGGUUAACUGCCUGAUACAGUCAGGGACAGCUUCGAAAGGGAUGCCUGAGCUGAGCCGUGAAUGAUGAACAGGAGAGGACAUUCCGGGUAGUCCAGACAUGACUGCAAAAACAGAGGAGUGUGGAACGGCAUGGCGCCUUUUGGGGAAUGGUAGAAACCUGCUGUUCUCUGUGUAUUGGCUUUUCUGGGCAGCAGGCAAGAUGAACCCACCAGGCAAUUACAAAUUCACUGGCCAACAACUUGUUCAAUGUCCAAUGCCUUAGAGCUGGGUUAGCAGUCACUUAUUGGCAAGGCUUAUGUGGUCGCGACACACCUUUAAAUUGUGAACUAUCACAGUGCAUGUAUGACUCCAGCGCUAAGGCAGCCCCAUCAUCUUCCAGGGCUACAGCUCCCUAUGUGUCAAGGAUGGACAAGCUGGAUGGACUGAAAGUUCUUGUAGCUUUUAUACCCAACAAAAAUAGAGACUUCACAUUGUAUAAAUCCAUUUCCUCCUGAACUCUGAACAUAUGAUUAAUAAGCUCUUUUUCCUCUAUCUACUCUCAAUGUUGAAAAAGCUUGAGCUGCUUUGGUCGAAAAGCCUUAGAUUUUGUACCAAAUGUACAGUUAACUAGUUCUUUUCAGCAAUGUUAACAUUGUUACAUUUCUAAACAAAUAACAAAAACAGCAUCAAAAGUAGCUGACCACCCACUUUCUCAUAUCUCAUUUGAUCCUUAUCAAACCCCCUUUGCCCUCAUUUAAUAAAGAAACCUAUGUUCUAAAAUGUAUGUAAUUUGUCUAAGAUCAUACAACCAACAAGUGGAGAAGCCAGAGUUUGAAUCUAUAUUGGACUCCAAAGCCCAGUAUUCCGAUAAUACCUUACUACUUAUAAAGGGA
rnacentral:lncRNA from 1 species